CCUACGGGUGGCAGCAGUGGGGGAUAUUGCACAAUGGGGGGAACCCUGAUGCAGCGACGCCGCGUGGGUGAAGGCGUAUUUCGGUAUGUAAAGCCCUAUCGGCAGGGAAGAAUUUAGACGGUACCUGACUACGAAGCCCCGGCUAACUCCGUGCCAGCAGCCGCGGUAAUACGUAGGGGGCAAGCGUUAUCCGGAUUCAAGGGGUGUAAAGGGAGCGUAGUCGGCCAGGCGAGCCUGGAGUGAAAACCCGGGGCCCAACCCGGGGACUGCCCGGGGAACUUGCCGGCUGGAGUGGGAGAGGGGCAGGCGGAAUUCCUGGGGUAGCGGUGAAAUGCGUAGAGAGCAGGAGGAACACCGGCGGCGAAGGCGGCCUGCUGGACCGCGACUGACGUUGAGGCUCGAAAGCGUGGGGAGCGAACAGGAUUAGAUACCCCAGUAGUC
rnacentral:rRNA from 1 species